UGCCAGCAGCCGCGGUAAUACGUAUGUCCCAAGUGUUACCCGGAAUUACUGGGUGUAAAGGGUCCGUAGGCGGAUAAAUUAGUCAGGUGUGAAAGACCGAAGCUUAACUUCGUGUUUGUGCUUGAAACUGUUUAUCUAGAAUUAGGGAGAGGUAAGCGGAAUUCUAAGUGUAGGGGUGCAAUCCGUAGAUACUUAGAGGAACACCAAAAGCGAAGGCAGCUUACUGGAACUAUAUUGACGCUAAAGGACGAAAGCGUGGGGAGCGAAAAGGAUUAGAUA
rnacentral:rRNA from 1 species